UACUCUUACGGGAGGCAGCUGUAAGGAAUAUUGGUCAAUGGACGCAAGUCUGAACCAGCCAUGCCGCGUGAAGGAUGAAGGUCCUCUGGAUUGUAAACUUCUUUUAUAAGGGAAGAAAUCCCUCUAAAGUUGGGUGUGACGUACCAUAGA
rnacentral:rRNA from 1 species